rnacentral:rRNA from 1 species
GACGAACGCUGGCGGCGUGCUUAACACAUGCAAGUCGAACGGCAAGGCCCUGCUUUUGUGGGGUGCUCGAGUGGCGAACGGGUGAGUAACACGUGAGUAACCUGCCCUUGACUUUGGGAUAACUUCAGGAAACUGGGGCUAAUACCGGAUAGGAGCUCCUGCUGCAUGGUGGGGGUUGGAAAGUUUCGGCGGUUGGGGAUGGACUCGCGGCUUAUCAGCUUGUUGGUGGGGUAGUGGCUUACCAAGGCUUUGACGGGUAGCCGGCCUGAGAGGGUGACCGGCCACAUUGGGACUGAGAUACGGCCCAGACUCCUACGGGAGGCAGCAGUGGGGAAUAUUGCACAAUGGGCGGAAGCGUGAUGCAGCAACGCCGCGUGUGGGAUGACGGCCUUCGGGUUGUAAACCGCUUUCGCCUGUGACGAAGCGUGAGUGACGGUAAUGGGUAAAGAAGCACCGGCUAACUACGUG